ACUCCAUGAUGUGGACAAGACCUUGUGUAUCCCUUGAAACGUUCCCAAACUUCAUAUAAUGACUCAUUUCCUCCUUGUUUGAAAGUUGCAAUGUCAUUCCUUAUCUU
rfam:Arabis alpina cultivar Pajares Aa.chr1_contig_1686, whole genome shotgun sequence.